AACGAACGCUGGCGGCAUGCCUAACACAUGCAAGUCGAACGAUUGCCUUCGGGUGAUAGUGGCGCACGGGUGCGUAACGCGUGGGAAUCUGCCCUUAGGUUCGGAAUAACAGCUGGAAACGGCUGCUAAUACCGGAUGAUAUCGCGAGAUCAAAGAUUUAUCGCCUGAGGAUGAGCCCGCGUUGGAUUAGGUAGUUGGUGGGGUAAAGGCCUACCAAGCUGACGAUCCAUAGCUGGUCUGAGAGGAUGAUCAGCCACACUGGGACUGAGACACGGCCCAGACUCCUACGGGAGGCAGCAGUGGGGAAUAUUGGACAAUGGGCGCAAGCCUGAUCCAGCAAUGCCGCGUGAGUGAUGAAGGCCCUAGGGUUGUAAAGCUCUUUUACCCGGGAAGAUAAUGACUGUACCGGGAGAAUAAGCCCCGGCUAACUCCGUG
rnacentral:rRNA from 1 species